rnacentral:rRNA from 1 species
AACGAACGCUGGCGGCAUGCCUAACACAUGCAAGUCGAACGAGACCUUCGGGUCUAGUGGCGCACGGGUGCGUAACGCGUGGGAAUCUGCCCUUAGGUACGGAAUAACUCAGGGAAACUUGAGCUAAUACCGUAUAAUGACUUCGGUCCAAAGAUUUAUCGCCUAAGGAUGAGCCCGCGUCGGAUUAGCUAGUUGGUGAGGUAAAAGCUCACCAAGGCGACGAUCCGUAGCUGGCUGAGAGGAUGAUCAGCCACACUGGGACUGAGACACGGCCCAGACUCCUACGGGAGGCAGCAGUGGGGAAUAUUGGACAAUGGGCGAAAGCCUGAUCCAGCAAUGCCGCGUGAGUGAUGUAGGCCUUA